rnacentral:rRNA from 1 species
AAUACAGAGGUCCCAAGCGUUGCUCGGAUUCACUGGGCGUAAAGGGUGCGUAGGUGGCGGGGUAAGUUUGAUGUGAAAUCUCCGAGCUUAACUCGGAAAUGGCAUUGAAUGCUAUUCUGCUCGAGGUUUGGAGGGGGGACUGGAAUUCUCGGUGUAGCAGUGAAAUGCGUAGAUAUCGAGAGGAACACCGGUGGCGAAGGCGAGUCCCUGGACAACACCUGACACUGAGGCACGAGAGCUAGGGGAGCAAACA